rfam:Caenorhabditis briggsae complete genome, chrV
CCAACGGCCCUCUUUAGGGCCACAAACGUUCACUAAUCCAUCUUCU